rnacentral:rRNA from 1 species
UAACACGUGGAUAAUUUUGCCCUUAGGUUGGAGGAUAACCUCGGGAAACUGAGAAUAAUACUCCAUAGAUCUAGAAAUGCUGGAAUGCAUUUAGAUUAAAAGCUCCGGCGCCUAAGGAUAAGUCUGCGGACUAUCAGGUUGUAGUCAGGGUAAAGACCUGACUAGCCUACAACGGAUACGGGUUGUGAGAGCAAUAACCCGGAGACGAUAUCUGAGACACGAUAUCGGGCCCUACGGGGCGCAGCAGGCGCGAAACCUUCGCACUGUGCGAAAGCGCGAUGAGGGGAUCCCAAGUGCUUGCUCGUAAGAGUAAGCUGUUUUUAUGUCUAAAAAGCAUAGAGAGUAAGGGCUGGGUAAGACGGGUGCCAGCCGCCGCGGUAAUACCUGCAGCUCAAGUGGUGAUCAUUAUUAUUGGGCCUAAAACGUCCGUAGCCGGUUUGGUAAAUGCCUGGGUAAAUCGUGUAGCUUAACUAUACGAAUUCCGGGUAGACUGCCAAACUUGGGACCGGGAGAGGCUAGAGGUACUCCUGGGGUAGAGGUGAAAUUCUGUAAUCCUAGGGGGACCACCAGUGGCGAAGGCGUCUAGCUAGAACGGGUCUGACGGUCAGGGACGAAGCCCUGGGGCGCGAACCGGAUUAGAUACCCGGGUAGUCCAGGGUGUAAACGCUGCUUGCUUGAUGUUAGUUGGGCUCCGAGCCCAAUUAGUGUCGGAGAGAAGUUGUUAAGCAAGCUGCCUGGGAAGUACGGUCGCAAGACUGAAACUUAA